rnacentral:rRNA from 1 species
GAAUGCUGACAUAAGUAACGAUAAAGCGGGUGAAAAGCCCGCUCGCCGGAAGACCAAGGGUUCCUGUCCAACGUUAAUCGGGGCAGGGUGAGUCGACCCCUAAGGCGAGGCCGAAAGGCGUAGUCGAUGGGAAACAGGUUAAUAUUCCUGUACUUGGUGUUACUGCGAAGGGGGGACGGAGAAGGCUAUGUUAGCCGGGCGACGGUUGUCCCGGUUUAAGCAUGUAGGCUGAUUGUCCAGGCAAAUCCGGAUAAUCAAGGCUGAGGUGUGAUGACGAGGCACUACGGUGCUGAAGUAACAAAUGCCCUGCUUCCAGGAAAAGCCUCUAAGCAUCAGGUAACAUCAAAUCGUACCCCAAACCGACACAGGUGG